rnacentral:lncRNA from 12 species
CUUCUGUGCAUUUGGAGAGGUGUGUCCUCUGUAUUUCCCAGCAUCUGUGUGACCCUGGGUUAGUCUUGGCCCCUCUCUGGCCCUCAGGGUGGACUUCUACAGUACUCAGGAAUAUUUAGACCCUUCUCAACUGCUGCUGGUGGCCAAGAAGCCCUGUUAUCUGGGUUCUGGGCUCUUCAGAUAUCUAUGUUGUCAUCAAAACUCUGUCAAAAGCAAAGGCCAGAACCCAAGUAAAACAUUCUUAAGAGGGAGAAAAAGGAAAUUAUUUGCUCAGGUAAUUGAAAAGCCUGAAGAACGGUGAUAAGGAAGGCAUAACCUCAGGCUUGUCUGAUUUCAAGUACUAAAGCCAUGCCACUGAAGUCAUUCUCCCUCUCUUUCUCUUUGUUUCUGUCUCUUUCCACCUCUGUGUGUCUUUUCCCUCAUUUUCUACCAGUGACUUAUCUCCAAGUAGAAGCCAAGACCAGGCUGGAGUAACUCUUCUGGGAAAAAAGUCUCCUUCCCCCAAUUUCACCCAAGGCCUCAGACCUGAAUGUCAUUAACUGAGAAAAGUCACGUGUUUAUUGUUUAACCAGUCACUGGAAGAUGGAAGCACCCAGUCAUGGGUUGAGGAAAGGGUUAGCCUAGGGCUGAGGAAAGGGCUGGCCUCAUGGACACACACAGACUUAAAAUGGAGAUGAGGUGAUUCCUGAAGCAAAAAGGGGCACACUGGCACAGGACACUAAAAAUUGUCUUCUACAAGGCCCUCUGUGACAUCACUGGCUAUUGCACAAUGACCUGUUGGGCUCCCUUUGGCCACAGCCUCUGUUCUUCCCCCCCAGCCCCACCUCCAGUGUUCUGAAGCUGAAGACAGACCUGUGACAUUCACCUUCCCCAACUAGUCCUAGAAAAAGAGGCAAAACUCCCUGGAAAGUCUUCCACAGCUGUUUUACCUAGGUCCAUCACAUCAGCCAGCCUGACCCCCCACCAUCUUAUAGAGUGCAUUCUUCUCUCUGGCCAACUGGUCUUCUCCCGGUCUCCCACAUACACCUCUGCUCCUGCUACUGCUCCCUGCUGGAAAGGGUCCUUGCCUCCACCUAUCGCAAGUCCCAACUUCUGGAUUGUUAGACUUGAUGCAAAUGGAUUACAAGUUCCUGAGAUACUGAUUCCUCAACUCUGUAGAGCUGAUGCUGCCAAAGGUUCCAGGGCCCCUUGCCUCUGAUUAUGAGUAAUAUUAUCCAUUUAUGGCAGUAUGUUACAAUUACUGCCAUUUUUCUACUAUGGCCAAUAAAACACAAAAAUUGAGGAAGCGUGGAUCCA